UGAGUGUGUUUGUGUGUACGUAAGUAAAGGUUUGUUGCCAACAUAUUUGAGUGUGUUUGUGUGUAUGUAAGUAAAGGUUUGUUGCCAACAUAUUUGAGUGUGUUUGUGUGUACGUAAGUAAAGGUUUGUUGCCAACAUAUUUGAGUGUGUUUGUGUGUACGUAAGUAAAGGUUUGUUGCCAACAUAUUUGAGUGUGUUUGUGUGUACGUAAGUAAAGGUUUGUUGCCAACAUAUUUGAGUGUGUUUGUGUGUACGUAAGUAAAGGUUUGUUGCCAACAUAUUUGAGUGUGUUUGUGUGUACGUAAGUAAAGGUUUGUUGCCAACAUAUUUGAGUGUGUUUGUGUGUACGUAAGUAAAGGUUUAUUGCCAACAUAUUUGAGUGUGUUUGUGUGUACGUAAGUAAAGGUUUGUUGCCAACAUAUUUGAGUGUGUUUGUGUGUACAUAAGUAAAGGUUUAUUGCCAACAUAUUUGAGUGUGUUUGUGUGUAUGUAAGUAAAGGUUUGUUGCCAACAUAUUUAAGACAAAGUUUUGUAAAUAUAAAACUCUAAAUACAUUAGCUACGGUCCUUCGAGCUGA